rnacentral:rRNA from 1 species
CCUACGGGAGGCAGCAGUGAGGAAUAUUGCGCAAUGGACGAAAGUCUGACGCAGCGACGCCGCGUGAAGGAUGAAGGCCCUUGGGUCGUAAACUUCUGUAGAGAGGGAAGAAUGUCUCG